rnacentral:lncRNA from 1 species
AGGGCUACGCUGAGAAACACUGUCUUGAAAAACCAAAACCAAAAAAAUAAGACAUCAACAGCCAGGCUUGGCGGCAUAAACCUUUGAUCCCAGCAUGGUCUAUAUAGUGAGGCACUCAAAAGACACCAAAAUCAAAGUCACUUAGAUUUUCUCCAAUAUUCUAAUUUUGUGAUUUUUUUUUCAUUUAUUUAGAUAUGUGAUCCACUCUGCAUUUUCUACUUUGUUUGCUCUCUUGCUUUUUUGCUGUAUAGAGGAUGGAACCCAGUGUGCUUGUAUGCGUGGUAGAUGAGCACCCUGUCACUGAAUGUACAUUCCCAGUUGCUGAAACCUGCAUGUGUUUGGAUUUGACCUUGACUGGUCUGACAAAGGAAUAAAGAAAGGACAGGCACCUGUACAAAAAACCACACGGGAUUGAGUGGGCCAUAUGCCCUGCUGGAGGCACACCAGCCGCAGUCCUGAAACUUGGUUCAUUUAUAAUUGGUUUUUUAGCCAGUUGAGAUAGCAGGCUUAUUGUAUACAGUUGAAUGAGGAAGCAGGUUUAGCUAAUUUCAGUAGGAAGUCUCUGUAGGGGAGCAGUUUCAGGCUGUAAAUAUGCAGGAGAAAAAGAAGUGGUCCAUACAUUUUAUACACACUGUCAACAUCUGAACACAUACCACGGGAAGGCUUUGCCAUUCCCAGGAAUCUGAAACAUUGAAGUUCUUGAAAUGGUUGUGUUCAUGUCAACAAGGCACAGUCACUCAGGACUUAUUUCAUCAGAGUCUUGUAUCAGUUCAGACUGUCUUAGGACUUAAGGUCCUUCUGCGUCAGCCUCCCAAGUGCUAAGAUUAUAGAUAGGCAUGUGCCAUGCUGCUUAUCAGAAACUUUCUGGGGCUGGAGAGAUGGCUCAUUGGUUAAGAGCACUGACUGCUCUUCCAGAGGUCCUGAGUUCAAAUCCCAGCAACCACAUCUGUAAUGAGAUCUGACGCCCUCUCCUGGUGUGUCUGAAAACAGCUACUUACAAAUAAUGAAUAAAU